UUGACGGGGACCCGCACAAGCGGUGGAUGAUGUGGAUUAAUUCGAUGCAACGCGAAAACCUUACCACCUUUGACAUGUACGGAAUCCUUUAGAGAUAGAGGAGUGCUCGAAAGAGAGCCGUAACACAGGUGCUGCAUGGCUGUCGUCAGCUCGUGUCGUGAGAUGUUGGGUUAAGUCCCGCAACGAGCGCAACCCUUGUCAUUAGUUGCUACAUUCAGUUGGGCACUCUAAUGAGACUGCCGGUGACAAACCGGAGGAAGGUGGGGAUGACGUCAAGUCCUCAUGGCCCUUAUAGGUGGGGCUACACACGUCAUACAAUGGAUGGUACAAAGGGUCGCCAACCCGCGAGGGGGAGCCAAUCCCAUAAAGCCAUUCGUAGUCCGGAUCGCAGUCUGCAACUCGACUGCGUGAAGUCGGAAUCGCUAGUAAUCGUGGAUCAGAAUGUCACGGUGAAUACGUUCCCGGGUCUU
rnacentral:rRNA from 1 species